GUGUGUUUGAGUGUGAAAUGUGCUAAUAAGGAGGAGAGACCUCUCCUUUGCAAUGUGCUGCGGCAGGAGAAAGCAGGCUGCCGGCCCCUGCCUCCCUGAAUCCUCAGUGGCUGACUGGAUACCGCUUCUGGGGGUUGCUGUGCACAUGAAUGUUUGCUAUUGUUCCAGGCGCACGUCGGCCUUAAGAAAUAGCACAAAACAGGCCCAUCCUUAUUCAGAAGCCGGGCCCCCUCCAUCACUCAAACUGGGCCUUUCAGGUCACAUGCCGGAGGCUGCUGCAGACAGGACCCAGCUGCCUCAAAUCUGCCGCCUAACAUAAGCUGCGGUUCGAAAAUCCUGACAGCACAGGGCUUCCUGGGCUCUGCAGAGCAAACUGGAAAGAGCUGGGAUCCAGGCACUAUGUUCUCUGAAGAACUGUGGCUGGAAAAUGAGAAAAAGUGUGCUGUGGUUCGGAAGUCUAAGCAGGGCAGGAAACGCCAAGAACUGCUGGCCGUAGCCUUCGGGGUGAAGACUGUGGAUUGAACGUACACAAACAGUGUUCCAAGCACGUUCCCAAUGACUGCCAACCUGAUCUCAAGAGGAUCAAGAAAGUGUACUGUUGUGACCUCACAACACUUGUGAAGGCUCACAACACUCAGAGACCCAUGGUGGUAGACAUAUGCAUUCGGGAAAUUGAAGCAAGAGGAUUAAAAUCGGAAGGCCUUUACAGAGUCUCUGGGUUCACUGAACACAUUGAAGAUGUCAAAAUGGCAUUUGACAGAGGGUUACUAUGAAUGAAAAAGACAAUUUCAUGAAUGCAGAAAAUCUGGGGAUCGUGUUUGGGCCCACUCUGAUGAGGCCCCCUGAGGACAGCACCCUGACCACCCUGCAUGAUAUGCGGUACCAAAAGCUGAUUGUGCAGAUUUUAAUAGAAAACGAAGACGUUUUAUUCUAAUCCAUCAGGGAAAUGAGCUGAAUGGCCCCAGCACCAUCCAAGUUGACACAGCUAAAGGAAUAAAAACAUUUCUUACCACUUGAUUUGUUUUCCAAGCAAGUGCUAGAAUUUCCUGGACUGCAGAGGAUCGCUGAGUGGGGUACUGUGUCUCAUAGACAUGCGCCACCUCCACGUGAGAACAAGGGUGAAGGUGAGGGAAGCCCCUCACCUUGGGUCUUUUGCUGUGCCUCCUAUGUAUGUCUGGUUUGCUGGAAGAGUGAUUAAUACAUCUUUAAUUUAUUAAAAAACAAUGUAGACCUUUAAACUUCAGUCUUAUUGGUAAUAAAAGGGAACUUAAUUCAUACAGGUACUUGAUACAGUUAUACAUUUUCCACUUACAAAAAGAAGACAAUUCUGUUAAAUGAAACGUGUAUCGUAAAAUGUAUUUUUAUUUUACCCACGAGAAUGUUGUUAUUUUUAGCAAAUAGAACUCAAUGCAGUGCAUUGGUUAUUACCCUGUGUACCUUGUCCCUCAUUUUGCUGUGACACCCUGAAAAAGCUGACCACAAAUGCAGUAUUAUCUUGACAUACCUCUGUCCUCCUCAGUGCUUUUUAAUGAAAUUUCACCUGCCCCUUGUGUUCCUGCUUUGGAUAGUUUUUGCUCUUAAGCAUUGGCAUUCUUCUAUUGUAUGGUAUGUAUUUAUAGCAAUUGUAGGAUGGUCUGAAAUGUCCACACACUUUCUAUGCAUACAAAUUUUGUGAAUUCCCAAAGUAUGCUUUGGAAUUGGUCAUAGUCUUUUCGUAUCAUGAGUGUGUAUCCCAGAAGAUACAGAAUGCGGUCAUUUUACCUGAAAUUAUUUGAGAACACUGGAUGUAUCUGGUCUGUGUAAAAAGUUAGCACUUACCCUCUUUUCUUCCUGGCCAAGCCCUCUGAAUUCAUCUGUUAAUAUCAAAUUGUAUUUUUGCCACAUUUCUGUAUUGGUGAAAAGCGAAUCUGCAGAAUAACUGUCAACGUUUUUCAUUCUUGUUUUACAAACCUAUUUUUUAAAGUGAGAAUAAGGUUGGUUUUUACCAAAUAUUUGUUCCUCCUUGACAAAAGUAGCUCUGUGUGGAUAAUAUGAUUUUAUUACUACAGUUCCAGUCACUUGGUUAUAUUUAUCUUAGCAUGAGCCUUUCACACCAAGAUUUCUAUAUUUUGUAACAUAGGUGAAAUAUUUAAAACAUCAAAAACUGUAAAUCUAGAUUUUUAAAAAAUCCAACUGCAAUGUCUUUUCCUUUGAUUGAGAUGAUUUGUGUAAACUCACCAGUCUUGCUUUGGAGUGAGCAGAAGAGAAUGACUAUUUUACGUGGAGCAUCAUUGUGUGACUGUUGACCUGGACAGUCCCAAGGGCUAUGCAGAUGGACUCCAUUGGCACAGGGAGGUUUGACCUCUUCCCUGCUAUUAUCCCUCCUCCCAACUGUACAGAUUUGUUUGUUGUAGUUUAUGUACUUCUUGAUACUGUCAAAAAAUUAUCUGGAAAUGGUUUUAUUUUGUGAAGUGAACAAUACUUUGUAAUUUAUGAUAGUGUAAAUGGAAGGCAAAGCAUCACAUGUAUUAAAUUCUUCUGUCUAUUAUUCUGGA
rnacentral:lncRNA from 1 species